AGUAAGAAAAAAGAAAAAAGUAAAAAGAAACUAAAAGGCUGAAAGUUGAGAAGACACAAAGAGACAGUUUGAUACCAUAUUAAACACUGAACACUGCCUCUUAUAUUGCAGAAAACCCUCUUAAAAACAAAUAAACAAGCAAACAAAACCACAGCAAAACAGCUCAAUUAAAAAAAAAAAAAGAGAUGAAUAUUAAAGUUGACGAAAAUCACGUUCACAUGAGAAAAACAGAAAAUUCUGGAAAGUAAAUGAAAAGUAAAUCUCCAGAUCAAAUAGCUCAAGAGGCAAGUUGCUAAUAAAAAAUACUUUCACACACAUCCAAAACAUUAUGCCUACUUGAAACUUAGUGCAACUUCAAAUGAAAAAGUGAAGAGGCAGAAGAAUUACUCAACAGAAGUAAGGCCAUAGGAAAAUUAUUGCAUGAUUACAGCUUGAUAAUAAGGUCAGGGAGCCCCAUGUCAUAGGUUAAGAACAAACUCAAACUGAAGAGGCUUAGGGACAAAUAGGUAAGAAAAAUAGGGGAUGACAACAAUAAAAUAAGUCUGAAGUGACUCAAGGGAAAACUGCUCAUUGCUAGUUCAGUUGCUGCAUUCAGUGCUGGAGCAAUAGUCAAUGGCCAGUAAAACUUCAGACUCCAAUAAGGCUCCAGGCCAGCGCUGAAAUCUACGGAGCAAUAAAUCUAACAUUUUUAUCUUGUAAAAUCAGAAGAAGAAACUGUAAAAGCAACUAUACUGAGUAAAAUUCCACAUGCAUUUUUUUCCUGAGGAAGUCACGCCUCAUGAAUCUAGUGGAGAUGUCUGUAAGGAUUUUACAAGUUUGGUAGGAGCCAUUGAGUCCCUCAAAGGCAGAGGGGCCUUACAGAGAGAUCAUGACAAACCAGGGGGCUGGGCAACAACCAACAACAUGAAGUUUAAUAAGAGCGAUUGCUGAAUUCUGCACUUAGGUCAGCGCAAUCCUGGGUACAUUUACAGUUUAGAGGAUGAGAGACUGGACAGCAACCCCACAGAGAGAGGUCUGGUGGCCUGGGUGACAGCGAGGUGAAUGUGAGCCAGCAGUGUGCCCUGGCAGCCUGAAGGCCAACUGUGCCCUGGGGUGCAGCAGGCUCAGCACUGCCACCAGGCAAGGGAGGGGCUGUUCCGCUCUGCUCUAUGCGGCCUCAGCUCCAGCACUGGGUAGACUUUGGAGUGCCACAGUACAGGAAGGACAUAAAACUACUAGAGAGUGUCCAAAGAAGGCCUAUGAAAGUAGUGAAGGGUCUAAAAGUCAAGAUGUAUGAGGAGCAGCUGAGGUCCCUGGGUUUGCUCAGCCUAGAGCAGAGAAGCUGAGGGGAGCUGCCAUGGCGGCUGCUCCUCACAGGGAGCAGAAGGCAGUGCUGAGCUCUGCUCUGUGUGACAGCGACAGGGCCCGAGGGAAUGGCAUGGAGCUGGUCAGGGGACGGGCAGCUGGGGCUCAGGGGAAUGGUCUGCACCAGAGGUUGGUUGGGUGGGAGCGUGGAGCAGGCUGCCCAGGGCAGGGGGUGCAGCCUCAACUGCUAGAGCUGAAGGAGUGCCUAGACAGCAUUCUCAGUCACUGGAUUUGAAUUUUGGGUGGUGCUGUGUGGAGCCAGGAGUUGGACUUGAUGAUCCUUGUGGGUCCAACCCAGGGAUAUUCUAUGGUUCUGUGAUUCUUUGUGGGUAAGGGUGAGACAAAUGGAAAGUUUUGCCAGAAGUUUUUGCAGAAUUCUAAGGAGUAACAGGGAAAGAUCCUCUCUACUUCAAGUCAGAAAGUGGGAAAAAGACAUACAUAAUUGUAGUGGAAAUGCUGAGUCAUGGCUUGAAACAGUGAUUGAGCACCUGGUGGGAAGGCAGGGCCAGCCCAGAGGAGCUCAGGUGUAUGCAAUGCAGCUGAGUGACCAGAAGGGGUGCAGCCGGGAUCCACCCCUUCCCGACAUUCAAGGAUUCAUAGUGGAAGCAAGAGUAUCUUGCUGGAGAUUCUUGUAUGCCUGAGCUUUUCUGGGGUGUGCUCGAUGUAAGGACCCGUCAGACAGGAGAAACAUUUCCACAGGCUGCAGUUCGUGUAACCCACCACAGGGGGACAGCUGAUAUACGUCUCUGAAAAAGAGCUGGGCAGAAAAUGUCAGGCUGAGGAGUUCGCAUGGAAACCAUUACAUGCCAUUGUGCAGAGAUUGGGCUCCUACGGACUUGCGCUUUUCUGAGGCAGUGAGUUUGGCUGCUGUGGACCGAAGCUCAAAACCACCUUUCACCUGUGGGCUCCUCAUGGGGCCAGGACCCCAGCAGUGGCUUUGGUGGUUGUUCUACAUAGUCCCAUGUGCAGAUCAGGGCUGUAAUAUCUAUCUCAGGGGAUUUGUGAACACUCACUGAAGCAGCUGCUGAAGUAAGGUCUGGUAUGUGCACUGCGUGAGAAAGGUCUGUGAGUUUGCAGCUGAAAUCUGUAGUAUUCUGCAUGAGCACGAAAGGACCAAGUGAAGAUUCAAAAUGUGAUUUUUAUUUUUGGCACCUCCUAGUUCUGUAUGUGUGACUGCUCUCAAGCAAAUGUCUGUUAAAGCAGUUAAUUAAAUGCAAAGGACUUCAGAGAUUUCAAUAAUAUCCAGGCUUCUCUUCUUUUCCCUUGUGAAUUAAUUUGAAAUUAGAAUGUCUGAUGUUUAUCUGUCAUUAGGGCAUCAGUGAGCUCCUCUAUGUAGCCAUUCAGCCACUCAUCUCUGAAUGUGGGGGUUCACGCUCCUGGGCAUCUCCCUUUACACCAGCUGGCUUAAGCAACCCCUGUGCUGUGAGACCUCAUGUGGAGUCCUCAGUGCAGGAGAAAUGUGGGCCUGUUGGAAUACAUCCAGAGGAGGGACACACAAAUGAUCCAAGGGAUCAUUUGAGGACAGGCUGAGAGAGCUGGGGCUGUGCAGCCUGUGGGAGAGAGGGCUCUGAGGAGAUCUGAGGGUGGCUGUUUGGUAUCUAAAAUGGGGCUAUAAGAAAGAAGGUGACAGACUCUUUAUCAGGAUCUGCUGUGAGAGGACAAGGGGAAAUGGUUUCAAAUAAAAGGAGGGGAGACUUUGGAUAUAAGGAAGGUGUUUGUUAAUAAGAAUGGUGAGGCACUGAAACAGGUUGCCCAGAGAGGUGAUGGAAACCUUAUCAUUGGAGAUGUUCAAGGUCAGGCUGGAUGGGGCUCUGUGCACCUGUUGUAGGUAUCUCUGCUUAUUGCAGAGGAGUUAAACUAGGUGGCUUUUAAGGGCCCCUUCCAACUCAAACAAUCCUAUGGUUUUAUUCUAUGACUCUUACCUAGGACUCUAAGCAUGAGCCCUGUAACUCUCUGAUCACAGUCAGAAUUGGGUACCAUCUCUGAUACAGACACCCCUUGGUGGAACUUUCACAACAGCUGAGGAUGGGUGGUCUUCUAUAAACAGUUUUAUGAAGAUCUUGGUUCCUUGGGUGCUUUUGUGGCUUUGCAUGAAAAGCCUGGGGCUACAGGUGCCUCACUGCAGGGGACGCCCAGCAGUCACUAACUGAGCACCACUCCUUUUCAGUAGUUCUCUGCCAUGCUUUUGUAUUACAUGUUUCCACAGGCUUGGAAUAGGGUCUCUGCUAAUGGCAAGAUAAGGGAAGGGAGAAGGCAAGGCAAGAAGUUCUUGGUCACAUCAAGCAAAAUAAAUCAAGUACAAGGACUCAAGAUUAUCUGGAGGAUUAAUAUCCUUACACCCUCAGAGGGUGGAGUUAGAUACCAUAGGGUUUAAUAAUGCAAUAGAAGUGACAGGCAGAAUCAGUUCUGCCUUGGUGAACUGGAAAGGGCAAUGUAUCAGAAAUUCUAGUUCAAUAUCAACAUUUACAAAAAAAAAAAAGAGAGAGAGAAAGCCCUGUUGCCUUUAGCAGUAAUUGCUGCUACUUAUCACACCAUGACCUGGUGACUUCCAUUCAUAACAGUUCAGUGAGGGAGGAAAAUCUGUCUGUCCAUGCUGCUGCUUGGCUGUAGGAGCAGCAUCCCAAGGCUGGUUACUGGGUCUGCACAGCUGCAGCUGUGACCCACAGCCAUAGUGGGGUCACUAGGGUGAGAACACAAGUCUGUUAGCUGCUGGCUCAGCACUAAGAUGCUUACAGCAGUUAUAUAUGAGCAUGAGCCUGGCAUGCCUCAAUCCAAUCAAGGUUUACUCAGCCACCACGUGCUCUGCUUUCUGCUGUGAGAACACUGUGCUUGCACAGACUGCAGGCUUCAGAAUAGCCUCCUCCAGCCUUCCUAUCCCCUUGGCAACCAAAUUUUAUUUAUUUCUAUUUAUUUGCAGGAUUGAAAACUAUUGCGUAUUUCUCUGGGCUGUGAGUAACCCUGAACACAAGAACCAGGAAUAACUCCUUUGGUUCGCUGUCAAGGCUUGACAGUCACUACUUUUAUCUUGUUGAAGUACAUUUGCUACAUCUGCAUGUUCAGUCAUGCAGCUUGGACUGCCAGGUACUGAUGCCAACCAGUGGCCAAGGCUACAGCACUGGACAAAGUAACCAGCUGAGAUAGAAAUAAAAAAAACUGAAGUUACC